rnacentral:rRNA from 1 species
GACGAACGCUGGCGGCGUGCCUAAUACAUGCCAGUAGAACGCACAGUUUAUACCGUAGCUUGCUACACCAUAAACUGUGAGUUGCGAACGGGUGAGUAACGCGUAGGUAACCUGCCUGGUAGCGGGGGAUAACUAUUGGAAACGAUAGCUAAUACCGCAUAAUAUUGAUUAUUGCAUGAUAAUUGAUUGAAAGAUGCUAUUGCAUCACUACCAGAUGGACCUGCGUUGUAUUAGCUAGUAGGUGAGGUAACGGCUCACCUAGGCGACGAUACAUAGCCGACCUGAGAGGGUGAUCGGCCACACUGGGACUGAGACACGGCCCAGACUCCUACGGGAGGCAGCAGUAGGGAAUCUUCGGCAAUGGACGAAAGUCUGACCGAGCAACGCCGCGUGAGUGAAGAAGGGUUUCGGAUCGUAAAGCUCUGUUGUAAGAGAAGAACGGGUGUGAGAGUGGAAAGUUCACACUGUGACGGUAUCUUACCAGAAGGGGACGGCUAACUACGUG